GACGAACGCUGGCGGCGUGCUUAACACAUGCAAGUCGAACGAAGUGGCGAACGGGUGAGUAAUACGUGAGUAACCUGCCCUCCUUUUUGGGAUAAGCCUUGGAAACGGGGUCUAAUACCGAAUAAAGGGGGAUGGGCUCGCGGCCUAUCAGCUUGUUGGGGGGGUGAUGGCCUACCAAGGCGGUGACGGGUAGCCGGCCUGAGAGGGUGACGGGAAGCGUUGGGACUGAGAUACGGAAGAGACUCCUACGCGAGGCAGCAGUGGGGGAUAGUGAACAAUGGGCGAAAGCCUGAUGCAGCGACGCCGCGUGGGGGAUGUAGGCUUGCGGGUUGUAAGCAUCUUUAGCUAUCGAAAGGGUAGGUAGAGAUGAAGCGACGGCUAACUACGUGCCAGCAGCCGCGGUAAUAC
rnacentral:rRNA from 1 species